UACGAAGGGUGCAAACAUUGCUCGGAAUUAUUGGGCGUAAAGCGCACGUAGGCGGCUUAGCAAGUCGAAUGUGAAAUCCCUCGGCUCAACCAAGGAAGUGCAUCCGAAACUGCUGAGCUUGAGUACUUAAGAGGAUCGCGGAAUUCCCGGUGUAGAGGUGAAAUGCGUAGAUAUUGGGAGGAACACCAGUGGCGAAGGCGGCUCACUGGACCGGUACUGACGCUGAUGCGCGAAAGCGUGGGGAGCAAACGGG
rnacentral:rRNA from 1 species